AAGUCGUAACAAGGUUUCCGUAGGUGAACCUGCGGAAGGAUCAUUACCGUGCCCGCGGGGGCCGGCGGUCGUCCGGCCGUCGGUGCCCGCACAAGGCCCAUCCGUGUCUAUCUUACCUGUUGCUUCGGCGGGCGCCGUUCGCGAUGUCCGCCGAAGGUACCCUUAAACCCUGAUGUUAACGUGGCGGUCUCAGUCCACUGGAUAAUCAGUAAAACUUUCAACAACGGAUCUCUUGGUUCCAA
rnacentral:misc_RNA from 1 species